GACGAACGCUGGCGGCGUGCUUAACACAUGCAAGUCGAACGGAAAGGCCCCUUUGGGGGUACUCGAGUGGCGCACGGGUGAGUAACACGUGAGUAACCUGCCCUUGACUUCGGGAUAACUUCAGGAAACUGGGACUAAUACCGGAUAGGAAUCCUUGCUGCAUGGUGGGGGUUGGAAAGCUUCGGCGGUUUUGGAUGGACUCGCGGCUUAUCAGCUUGUUGGUGGGGUAGUGGCUUACCAAGGCUUUGACGGGUAGCCGGCCUGAGAGGGCGACCGGCCACAUUGGGACUGAGAUACGGCCCAGACUCCUACGGGAGGCAGCAGUGGGGAAUAUUGCACAAUGGGCGGAAGCCUGAUGCAGCAACGCCGCGGGCGGGAUGACGGCCUUCGGGUUGUAAACCGCUUUCAGCAGGGGCGAAGCUUGUGGUGACGGUACCUGCAGAAGAAGCACCGGCUAACUACGUG
rnacentral:rRNA from 1 species